GAGAACUACACUCUUUCCAUGACACCACUCUAUUCCCCCCUGCUCAAUUUUACAAUAAAGCAAAUAAACUACUCACUCAUGAAGAACUCUUUCAGUUCAUUUUCAUCAAUAUCAUGUGGCAAGUUACC